UUUUUUCAUUAUUAUUUUUGCUGCAGGUGAGAAACAUGAUGCACGUGCGCGUUAAAUAUUAAACGCACGUGCAGGGUAAAUAUUAAACGCGGUUUUUUUCUUUCUGACGUUUGCGGUGAGUUGCAGCUUGUGGAUCGAUAUUGACACGUGUAGGGGUAGAGUUAUGGUGGGAGAGCACCGCUUUCUGAAAUCGUUCGGCGGUGUGUGAAAUCUCGUGGCAACUUGGCGAUAGAGAGGGAGGGGUGAAAACCGUGGUAAACGUGGGAACGGUUGUUGAGGUGCAGAGAAAGUAGUUUGGUGAAGUAUUCAACAGUGGCAAGGAAUGUACAAUAGAGUUUUUAGUGGAGCUGGGAGGGGCGAGAUAAGGGAACGAAGGGAUUAGAAACAUGUCGGAUGCGAUCAUACCAGCACUAAAGCACCGGAUCUCAUCAGAACUCCGAAGUUAAGCGUGCUUGGGCGAGAGUAGUACUAGGAUGGGUGACCUCCUGGGAAGUCCUCGUGUUGCAUUCC
rnacentral:rRNA from 1 species